GCAAGUUCCUCUCUGAAACUAAACAGUCAGGAGAAUUCCGUUUGACGUGUUCUGUGUCCUGCUGCUGGAUGCUGUGAGGAGAGCUCAGGCAAGCUCUGAAGUCCCAACAUGGGUAUAGUGACCUAUGAUGAUGUACAUGUGCACUUCACUCAGGAAGAGUGGGCUUUGCUGGAUCCUUCUCAGAAGAGUCUCUACAAAGAUGUGAUGCUGGAGACCUACAGGAAUCUCACUGCUAUAGGCUACGUUUGGGAAGACCAUAAUAUUGAAGAACGUUUUCAAAGUUCUAGAAGAUAUGGAAGAAGAACACAUACAGGAGACUAACCCUAUGAAUGUAGACAAUGUGGUAAAGCCUUUCCACAUCACCAUAGUCUCCAAAUACAUUGAAGAACACAUACUGGAGAAGGACCCUGUGAAUGUGACCAAUGUGGUAACACCUUUGUGUGGAAUAGUCAACGCCUAAGACAUAAAAGGAUACAAACUGGUAAGAAACACAGUUGCCUCCCUCCAUCUGCCUCUGAAGACUUACUUCCCCCUCUGAGUGGGAUUUCAAGCAUCCUGCCUUGUGUCCUCCUUGUAAUUUAGCCUGUUUGGGUCUGUGGAUUGUACCAUUGUACAUUGUGGCUAAAAUCCUCUUAAACAGAGUUCAUACCAUGCAUACCUUUUAGAGUCUGGAUUAGUUUACCCGGGAUGAUAAUUUAUGGUUCCAUUCAUUUGCUGUCCUUGUUUUUAAUGACGGAGUAGUCUCCCUUGUAUAAAUGAACCACAUUUUCUUUAUCCAUUCUGUUGAGGAACAUCCAGACAGUUUUCCAGUUUCUGACUAUUACAAAUAAAGCUCCUAUAAACAGAAUGGAACAGGUAUCUUGUGGUAUGCUGGAACAUAUGUUGGGUAUAUACCCACGAGUUGUAUGGUUGUGCCAUGAGUAGAAUUCCAAGUUUUCUGAGAAACCUGAUAACCAAAUUAAUUUCCAGAGCCAUUGCACAGGCUUGCACGCCCACCAGCAAUGGAGGAGUGUUCCAUUUGCUCCACAUCCCUGCCUGCAUGUGCUGUCCCUAGAAUUUUUCAUCUAAACCAUUCUGAACGGCGUAAGGUGAAAUCUUACCAUCAUUUUUAUUUGCAUUUUCCUGAGGACGAAGGAUGUUGAACAUUUAUAGCUUCUCAGCCAUUAGAGAAUCUUCUUUUGAGAAAAAUCUGUUUAGCUCUGUACUCCCUUUUUAAUUGGGUUGUUUGUUUUGUUGUUCUCUAACUUGGGUUCUCUGUGUAUUUCAGGUAUGAGUCCUCUUUUGCAUGUGUUUUCCCAUUCUGUGGGCUUCCACUUUGUCUUAUCGAUGGUGUCGUUCACCUUACUUUUCAGUUUCCUAAGGUCCCAUUUACUAAUUGUUCAUCCAAGUUCCUGAGAUACUGAUGUUGUGCUCAGGAAGUUGUUUCCUGUGCCAGUGAGUUGAACUUGGCAAGUGGGCACUGAGGCAUUAUUGAUGCCUGAGGUGAGAAAGAUUUAAAUACAUCAAAAUCUAAAAUACUCAAUUGUUUAUUUUUAAUACACGUAGUCAUUGCAUGGCUCUUUGAGUUUUAUAUGUACCUGAACUUCACAGCGUGUUAGAUUGGCUUGAAAGUAACUUAUAUUUGGUAAUACCUAACUUGUACACAUUGUAGGUAGAUGGGUCUAUUUGCCUAUAGUGCCUCCAAUCCAAUCAGGACAUGAUGUCUAUAUUACUGUUACCACCCAGAGUUUCCAGGAGAGUAUUGCAUUGUUAUGAAAAAAUAAAAAUUUGCAUGACAAUAGUGGUACAUUCUCUUUUGACACAUUUGGCAAUUAUUGAAAGUUGUGUUUUCAACUUUAAAUACAGUGUGUUGUUAAAACUUUGAAUCAGUUAUAAAACUCUUAGAUGAAGUAAAAUAGUUGUAA
rnacentral:lncRNA from 1 species